UGCACCCCCAGGCCAGGGGGAAUACCCCGUUAAUUUAAGCAUUUCAUAGAGGGGAAGGA
rnacentral:rRNA from 1 species